GGUGCUUGUUCCACACUUACAUAUAAUGAAAAUACGAAGGCCAAAGAGACGUCCCACUCGAACAGGUGCAAGUAAGCUUAAAAUCUAUAUAUUAGUGCGACAGAUCUGCGCUCUACAGUGAAAUUUCCCGGUGGGCUGGCCUUGAUGCCGCCUUUCCACCACCUGGCCUUGGAGACCUUAUAUGAGGUCUGAUUCUAGGUCUGUAUCAACUCGAUCUGCAAGCGAAUGUGUGCCAUGUUCUAGUUGUCUUACCGUUCUGUUUACUCUAUCCCUUGCCCUUAGUCCUAUCCUAGGAUGAUUCUUGCUUUGUGUUAUAAUGUUAAGCUCG